rnacentral:rRNA from 1 species
UGGGGAAUAUUGCACAAUGGGCGCAAGCCUGAUGCAGCCAUGCCGCGUGUAUGAAGAAGGCCUUCGGGGUUGUAAAGUACUUUCAGCGGGGAGGAAGGGAGUAAGGUUAAUAACCUUAUCAUGACGUUACCCGCAGAAGAAGCACCGGCUAACUCCGUGCCAGCAAGCCGCGGUAAUACGGAGGGUGCAAGCGUUAAUCGGAAUUACUGGGCGUAAAGCGCACGCAGGCGGUCUGUCAAGUCGGAUGUGAAAUCCCCGGGCUCAACCUGGGAACUGCAUUCGAAACUGGCAGGCUGGAGUCUUGUAGAGGGGUAGG